CAAAGUGGGGUCAGACAGCAAUUUUAUGCAACGAUGGCUGUUUCAAAGUGCUCUAUAAAUACAGUUGAGUUGAGACUACUAGAUUUGAAAACGAAUAGCAGAACCUUAAAAUGAAGUUGAAAUCAAUUUAACUCAUUGCCUCUACUAACUCAGUGUCCUCUUAAUCAUGUGACACCUCAAUGGUUUUUGUAAAAAAAAAAAAAAAAAAACUGGCGUAAAAGACACUCAAAACCAAGACAUGUCAAGUUCACAACAUAUACAGUACAUUCUUGAUCUGUCCAAACUGUGGGGCGUUGCUAUAAA